GGAAAAAAGAAAAAAAAAGGAAGAAUUGGGAGAAGAAAUGCUUCAGUAUCCAUCACUAAGAGGACUGAACAAAUAACCACUUCAAAGACUGCGUCUAAAAUUUGCACCGUAAAUCCCUGACAUUGCAAACAUUUAUUGAAUGGGCCAGGAUCAUGUCUUCCUCACAAGUCUGGAGCCGUGGGAAUCCUCAGCACAGAGGAACAAUGAGGUUCCCUAGGAAGAACAUGUAGACUAAAAAGUGCAUCAGGCUGAGAAAGGAGACCCAAGGAAGACCAGUUCUCACAGAGUCAGCAGAG